GAUGAACGCUGGCGGCGUGCUUAACACAUGCAAGUCGAACGAGAAGUGAAGACGGAAACCUUCGGGCGGAAGGCUUUAUUUCGAGUGGCGGACGGGUGAGUAACGCGUGGGUAACCUGCCUCAUACAGGGGGAUAACAGUUGGAAACGACUGUUAAUACCGCAUAAGACCACAGCACCGCAUGGUGCGGGGGUAAAAACUCCGGUGGUAUGAGAUGGACCCGCGUUCGAUUAGCCAGUUGGCGGGGUAACGGCCCACCAAAGCGACGAUCGAUAGCCGAUCGGAGAGGAGGCCCGGCCACAUUGGGACUGAGACCCGGCCCAAACUCCUACGGGAGGCGGCAGGGGGGAAAAUUGCACAAGGGGGGAAACCCUGAGGCAGCGGCGCCGGGUGAGUGAAGAAGUAUUUCGGUAUGUAAGGCUCUAUCAGCAGGGAAGAAAAUGCCGGUCCCGGAGUAAGAACCCCGGGCUAAUUACGG
rnacentral:rRNA from 1 species